rnacentral:rRNA from 1 species
UACGUAGGGUGCAAGCGUUGUCCGGAAUUAUUGGGCGUAAAGGGCUCGUAGGCGGUCUGUCACGUCGGGAGUGAAAACUCAGGGCUUAACCCUGAGCCUGCUUCCGAUACGGGCAGACUAGAGGUAUGCAGGGGGAGAACGGAAUUCCUGGUGUAGCGGUGAAAUGCGUAGAUAUCGAGAGGAACACCGGUGGCGAAGGCGGCCUUCUGGACAGUGACUGACGCUGAGACGCGAAAGCGUGGGGAGCAAACAGG